rnacentral:tRNA from 1 species
UGAGGUGAAGUAUCAAGUACAUUUUAGUUACAUUAAAAAAGCCCCAAAAUUUGGGCACCUUGA